rnacentral:rRNA from 1 species
AAACUUUCAACAACGGAUCUCUUGGUUCUCGCAUCGAUGAAGAGCGCAGCGAAAUGCGAUACCUAGUGUGAAUUGCAGCCAUCGUGAAUCAUCGAGUUCUUGAACGCACAUUGCGCCCGUCGGUAUUCCGGCGGGCAUGCCUGUCUGAGCGUC